UUUUUUUAAAAAAAAUUGAUUAAUAUUCUUUCUUUUUUCUUUUCGAUUUUACCCCAGUGCAUAUUUUGGAUUGUCCCUACAAAUAUAACACAAAAUAGAGGUGGAAGAGAGAUGCAAAAUAAUGCCAAUUUGAUAAAUUAUGAUGUAAAUGUUAAUUUAGCAAAACAAAAUAAUUCCAUUCCAUUCCUAAAAUUUAUUUUUAGAUACCAAUCAUAGGAAUGGAAUCAAACAAGGAAUUACAAUUCCAUUCCUUUUGUAUUCCUUGUGCAUACCAAGCAAAGGAAUUGUCAUUCCUUUCCUCCCUUCAUUCCAUUCCUACCUCCAUUCCAUUCCACCCUCAUUCCAUUCCAUCAUACCAAUCACCUCCU
rnacentral:lncRNA from 1 species